GACAGAGGCCUCAAGCGUUAGGCGGAAUCACUGGGCUUAAAGCGUGUGUAGGCGGAUCGUUAAGUGUCUUGUGAAAUCCCACGGCUCACCCGUGGAACUGCUGGGCAUACUGGCGAUCUUGGGCCAACUAGGGGCAGCCGGAACAAGCGGUGGAGCGGUGAAAUGCGUAGAUAUCGCUUGGAACGCCGAAGGUGAAAACAGGCUGCUGGGGUUGUGCCGACG
rnacentral:rRNA from 1 species